GAUGAACGCUAGCGACAGGCUUAACACAUGCAAGUCGAGGGGCAGCGGAGGCGAGUGCUUGCACUUGCCAGACGGCGACCGGCGCACGGGUGAGUAACACGUAUGCGACCUGCCCGUAGCAGGGGGAUAAGCGGAAGAAAUUCCGUCUAAUACCGCGUAAUAUCUUUCGGGGGCAUCCCUGAGGGAUUAAAGGAAGCGAUUCCGGCUACGGAUGGGCAUGCGGCGCAUUAGCUAGUCGGCGGGGUAACGGCCCACCGAGGCGACGAUGCGUAGGGGUUCUGAGAGGAAGGCCCCCCACACUGGUACUGAGACACGGACCAG
rnacentral:rRNA from 1 species